GAGGGAGACCUACCCAACUCAGGAACCGAAAGCAAACAGCGAAUAGAUAAUGAGAUGGUCUACUCUAGGUCGGUCGCAGAAAUAUAUUGUGGAAGCUUUCAAACUAUGAUUGGGUUCGAAUAUGGGCUAUUAGCUCAGGUGGUUAGAGCGCACCCCUGAUAAGGGUGAGGUCCCUGGUUCGAGUCCAGGAUGGCCCACCUGAAUCAAUGCAAAAUUAAAAAUUCAAAAUUCAAAACUAAGAAAUUGUUUUUGAAUUUUGCAUUUGGAAUUUUGAAUUGUUGAUGGGGGUUUAGCUCAGUUGGUAGAGCGCCUGCUUUGCAAGCAGGAUGUCAGCGGUUCGAGUCCGCUAACCUCCACCUGUAAGCGAGAAGCUAACGAAAAAAGUAACAGGAAAAAGUUCAGCAACUAACAGAUGCUCGUUAGACUGCUGGAUGAUUCCAGCCAGAACCUUGAAAACUGCAUAGAAACGCGAUUUAUAGCAGGCAGACACAGACAUCUUGUAGAUGUUGAGUGAAAGCAGGUGAAACCAAUGAAAUGU
rnacentral:tRNA from 1 species